CGGGAAUAUUGCGCAAUGGAGGAAACUCUGACGCAGUGACGCCGCGUAUAGGAAGAAGUUUUUCGGAAUGUAAACUAUUGUCGUUAGGGAAGAGAAAGGACGGUACCUAAGGAGGAAGCCCCGGCUAACUAU
rnacentral:rRNA from 1 species